GUCGCAAGACCAAAGAGGGGGACCUUCGGGCCUCUUGCCAUCAGAUGUGCCCAGAUGGGAUUAGCUAGUAGGUGGGGUAACGGCUCACCUAGGCGACGAUCCCUAGCUGGUCUGAGAGGAUGACCAGCCACACUGGAACUGAGACACGGUCCAGACUCCUACGGGAGGCAGCAGUGGGGAAUAUUGCACAAUGGGCGCAAGCCUGAUGCAGCCAUGCCGCGUGUAUGAAGAAGGCCUUCGGGUUGUAAAGUACUUUCAGCGGGGAGGAAGGCGANUAAGGUUAAUAACCUUGUCGAUUGACGUUACCCGCAGAAGAANGCACCGGCUAACUCCGUGCCAGCAGCCGCGGUAAUACGGAGGGUGCNAAGCGUUAAUCGGAAAUUACUGGGCGUAAAGCGCACGCAGGSCGGUCYGUCAAGUCGGGAUGUGAAAUCCCCGGGCUCAACCUGGGAAACUGCAUCGAAACCUGGCAGGGCUGGAGUCUUGUAGAGGGGGGUAGAAUUCCAGGUGUAGCGGUGAAAUGCGUAGAGAUCUGGAGGAAUACCGGUGGCGAAGGCGGCCCCCUGGACAAAGACUGACGCUCAGGUGCGAAAGCGUGGGGAGCAAACAGGAUUAGAUACCCUGGUAGUCCACGCUGUAAACGAUGUCGACUUGGAGGUUGUUCCCUUGAGGAGUGGCUUCCGGAGCUAACGCGUUAAGUCGACCGCCUGGGGAGUACGGCCGCAAGGUUAAAACUCAAAUGAAUUGACGGGGGCCCGCACAAGCGGUGGAGCAUGUGGUUUAAUUCGAUGCAACGCGAAGAACCUUACCUACUCUUGACAUCCAGGGAACUUAGCAGAGAUGCUUUGGUGCCUUCGGGAACCGUGAGACAGGUGCUGCAUGGCUGUCGUCAGCUCGUGUUGUGAAAUGUUGGGUUAAGUCCCGCAACGAGCGCAACCCUUAUCCUUUGUUGCCAGCGGUCCGGCCGGGAACUCAAAGGAGACUGCCAGUGAUAAACUGGAGGAAGGUGGGGAUGACGUCAAGUCAUCAUGGCCCUUACGAGUAGGGCUACACACGUGCUACAAUGGCAUAUACAAAGAGAAGCGACCUCGCGAGAGCAAGCGGACCUCAUAAAGUAUGUCGUAGUCCGGAUUGGAGUCUGCAA
rnacentral:rRNA from 1 species